CACACCGCCCGUCACAUCAUGAAAGUGGGCUGUACUAGAAGUCCCGAUCCCAACCGCAAGGAGGGUAAGGCCCAAGGUAUGGCUCAUGAUUGGGGUG
rnacentral:rRNA from 1 species